ACUACGGUGCUGAAGUAACAAAUGCCCUGCUUCCAGGAAAAGCCUCUAAGCAUCAGGUAACAUCAAAUCGUACCCCAAACCGACACAGGUGGUCAGGUAGAGAAUACCAAGGCGCUUGAGAGAACUCGGGUGAAGGAACUAGGCAAAAUGGUGCCGUAACUUCGGGAGAAGGCACGCUGGUGUGUAGGUGAAGUCCCUGCGGAUGGAGCUGAGACCAGUCGAAGAUACCAGCUGGCUGCAACUGUUUAUUAAAAACACAGCACUGUGCAAACACGAAAGUGGACGUAUACGGUGUGACGCCUGCCCGGUGCCGGAAGGUUAAUUGAUGGGGUUAUCCGUAAGGAGAAGCUCUUGAUCGAAGCCCCGGUAAACGGCGGCCGUAACUAUAACGGUCCUAAGGUAGCGAAAUUCCUUGUCGGGUAAGUUCCGACCUGCACGAAUGGCGUAAUGAUGGCCAGGCUGUCUCCACCCGAGACUCAGUGAAAUUGAACUCGCUGUGAAGAUGCAGUGUACCCGCGGCAAGACGGAAAGACCCCGUGAACCUUUACUAUAGCUUGACACUGAACAUUGAGCCUUGAUGUGUAGGAUAGGUGGGAGGCUUUGAAGCGUGGACGCCAGUCUGCGUGGAGCCAACCUUGAAAUACCACCCUUUAAUGUUUGAUGUUCUAACGUUGGCCCCUGAUCGGGGUUGCGGACAGUGUCUGGUGGGUAGUUUGACUGGGGCGGUCUCCUCCCAAAGCGUAACGGAGGAGCACGAAGGUUAGCUAAUCCUGGUCGGACAUCAGGAGGUUAGUGCAAUGGCAUAAGCUAGCUUGACUGCGAGCGUGACGGCGCGAGCAGGUGCGAAAGCAGGUCAUAGUGAUCCGGUGGUUCUGAAUGGAAGGGCCAUCGCUCAACGGAUAAAAGGUACUCCGGGGAUAACAGGCUGAUACCGCCCAAGAGUUCAUAUCGACGGCGGUGUUUGGCACCUCGAUGUCGGCUCAUCACAUCCUGGGGCUGAAGUAGGUCCCAAGGGUAUGGCUGUUCGCCAUUUAAAGUGGUACGCGAGCUGGGUUUAGAACGUCGUGAGACAGUUCGGUCCCUAUCUGCCGUGGGCGCUGGAGAAUUGAGGGGGGCUGCUCCUAGUACGAGAGGACCGGAGUGGACGCAUCACUGGUGUUCGGGUUGUCAUGCCAAUGGCACUGCCCGGUAGCUAAAUGCGGAAGAGAUAAGUGCUGAAAGCAUCUAAGCACGAAACUUGCCCCGAGAUGAGUUCUCCCUGAGACUUUAAGUCUCCUGAAGGAACGUUAAAGACGAUGACGUUGAUAGGCCGGGUGUGUAAGCGCAGCGAUGCGUUGAGCUAACCGGUACUAAUGAACCGUGAGGCUUAACCUU
rnacentral:rRNA from 1 species